rnacentral:rRNA from 1 species
CACACCCUGACCUAUGAGUGUUGAAUGUAAGAUUUUUUUUUUGUUCAAGCUAACGCGUAAACACUCCGCCUGGGUAGUACGAUCGNGAUUUAAUGCGUAACUACGCGCAAACCUUACCACUGCUUGUUUGGAAUUUAAGUGUGUUUUUGUAUAUGGGUUUUAAUCAGGUGU